rnacentral:rRNA from 1 species
ACAUGCAAGUCGAACGGGGGUAGCAAUAACUUCAGUGGCAGACGGGUGAAUAACACGUGGGAACCUUCUUCGUAGUACGGAACAACUCAGGGAAACUUGAGCUAAUACCCGUAUACGUCCGAGAGGAGAAAGAUUUAUCGCUAUGAGACGGGCCCGCGUCCGAUUAGCUAGUUGGUGGGGUAACGGCCUACCAAGGCGACGAUCGGUAGCUGAUCUGAGAGGAUGAUCAGCCACACUGGGACUGAGACACGGCCCAGACUCCUACGGGAGGCAGCAGUGGGGAAUCUUGGACAAUGGGCGAAAGCCUGAUCCAGCCAUGCCGCGUGAGUGAAGAAGGCCUUAGGGUUGUAAAGCUCUUUUGGCAGGGACGAUAAUGACGGUACCUGCAGAAUAAGCCCCGGCAAA